CCCUUAGAUGUUCUGGGCCGCACGCGUGCUACAAUGACGUUGUCAAAGUGAAUUCCGAACAGAGAUGUUUGGUUUAUCUCAUAAAAUCAUGACAUGACGGGGCUUGACGUUUGAAACUAUUUGUCACCAACGAGGAAUUCCUUGUAAGUUUCAGUCAUCAUCUGAAAUUGAUUACGUCCCUGCCCUUUGUACACACCGCCCGUCGCUUCUACCGAUUGAGUGUCUCGGUGAAUACUUUGGACUGCUUUCUUAUCGGUUCGCCGAUUUGCUAAGCGGAAAAUUGAGUGAACCUCGACACUUAGAGGAAGAAGAAGUCGUAACA
rnacentral:rRNA from 1 species